GCAGGAGUCGCCUAAUGGUAUGGCGCCAGCUUCCCAAGCUGGUUCCCGCGGGUUCGAUUCCCGUCUCCUGCUCCA
rnacentral:tRNA from 3 species